AUACGUAGGUGACAAGCGUUAUCCGGAUUUACUGGGCGUAAAGCGCACGCAGGCGGUCAAUUAAGUCAGAUGUGAAAGCCCCGAGCUUAACUUGGGAAUUGCAUCUGAAACUGGUUGGCUAGAGUCUUGUAGAGGGGGGUAGAAUUCCACGUGUAGCGGUGAAAUGCGUAGAGAUGUGGAGGAAUACCGGUGGCGAAGGCGGCCCCCUGGACAAAGACUGACGCUCAGGUGCGAAAGCGUGGGGAGCAAACAGGAUUAGAUACCCUGGUAGUCCACGCUGUAAACGAUGUCGAUUUAGAGGUUGUGGUCUUGAACUGUGGCUUCUGGAGCUAACGCGUUAAAUCGACCGCCUGGGGAGUACGGCCGCAAGGUUAAAACUCAAAUGAAUUGACGGGG
rnacentral:rRNA from 1 species